rnacentral:rRNA from 1 species
AGCGAACGCUGGCGGCAGGCUUAACACAUGCAAGUCGAACGGGCCCUUCGGGGUUAGUGGCGGACGGGUGAGUAACACGUGGGAACGUGCCCUUAGGUUCGGAACAACACAGGGAAACUUGUGCUAAUACCGGAUGUGCCCUUCGGGGGUAAGAUUUAUCGCCUUUGGAGCGGCCCGCGUCUGAUUAGCUAGUUGGUGAGGUAAAGGCUCACCAAGGCGACGAUCAGUAGCUGGUCUGAGAGGAUGGCCAGCCACAUUGGGACUGAGACACGGCACGAACUACUACGGGAGGCAGCAGUGGGGAAUCUUGCGCAAUGGGCGAAAGCCUGACGCAGCCAUGCAGCGUGGAUGAUGAAGGUCUUAGGAUUGUAAAAUCCUUUCAGCGGGGACGAUAAUGACGGUACCCGCAGAAGAAGCCCCGGCUAACUUCGUGCCAGCCGCCGCCGUAA